CUCGCUCUUGUGGGCUACUUUCUCUGCUUCUGGGGACACUGAAAUAGCCCUGGGAGAAGUUCAUGUGGACAGAACCAGAGGCCUCCUACCAACAGCCAGAACCAAUUGCCAGUCAUGUGAGCAGGCCACCUUGGAAGCUGAUCCUCUUGUCUUCAGAUAAUUGCAGACCUGGUGGGUAUCUGACUGCUCUUUCAUGAAUGGCUCCUCUAAGUCAAAUUGCCCAGCUAAGCUGCUCCCAAAUUCCUGACCCAGAGAGCUACCAAAGCAUAAUGCAAAUGCAGCUGGCUACCCGGGUCAUAGCUCCGACUAACCCAUCACGCUCACUGAUGUAUGACUUCACCUCUCUGAAUGUGUUCUCCAUAUCAGUCUUCCCACGAGGAUCCCAUACCUCAGCAGGGAGAACAAUUAGGUAUUCAUCUCAUUACAACAGAAGAGAUUUACAAAGAUAUGAGAGUCACAAAGGAGAUAAGAAAGGAAAAAUAAUGUGUGUUAUUUGAAAAAGAAUGUAUGUUAUCUGAAAUCACUACAUUUGAAUAAUACUGGUCUGUAUAUAACUAAGACCUCAAAAAAAAGAAGAAGAAAGCAAUGCAAAAUGAAUCUGAAAAAGUGAUGUCUGGCAUAAAAAGGAGGAACUGUCUUUGAGGAGUUGGAAUCAAUUAUGUGUUAACAAGACCAACAUGUAUCUGGAAAUUUAACCAUUCUGCCAUUAAUUAAUCUGGGAACUCUGCCAGGUGAGCCUUUUGUCUCCUGUGACUUCAAGGGCAUCCAUUCUUUGAAACCAUUUCCUACCUGUGUCAGGAGGCAUAAUAUGGAUGGAACUCCAGUGUAUCUUAUUGGAAAGGGCAAGAGAUUUGCAGUUAG